GCUUUUCUCUCCUCUGGCGCUUUUCUCUGACUUAGCGAGUUCUCUGCUCUGUCUGAGACGAUUUCUCUGCUCUGGUCUGGUCUGGCGUAAAAACGCCAUUUUUAGCCAAAAAUCCCCAAAAUUAUACUCUUCCACCUUUAAAACCUAAAUCUCCUGAAAAGCAUCAAAUACACCAUAAAACGGACCAAUUUCCAGAAGAUUUAUCUUACAAUGAGCACAUUCAAACCC
rnacentral:lncRNA from 1 species